rnacentral:rRNA from 1 species
AAGAGUUAGGGUCCUCGGCGGGGCGCCCUGUUAAGGCCGUCUGUUCCGCGAGGCAACGUUUAGUAUGUUCACAGGUUGUGAGUUGUAUAACUCCGGUAAUGCUCUCUCGUUUGGGGGGCCAGCGGAGGGAUCAUUAC